ensembl:miRNA Mir8090 microRNA 8090
GUAGCUCAGAGUUUUAAGUUUCACCCAUCGUACAGGGAAGUCCAGGCCUCCGCACUGGGCUCCUGAUGUGCAGUCAGAAGCCAGUGGAGGUCUGUGUACUGCCCACGUCUCUUCCUGCUUUUAUAUAGUCUGUGA